UACUCUAUAUUGGUGGGUGGCGCAGUAUUCUAGUCAAGACCACCAUCUUUGAAGACGGGCCUAAAAAUCCGUCAAGGGCACACCGAUGAAGUUCCUGGUGCUGGCUGCCGACGCCCAGUCGGGGGUUGGUACUGGGAGUUAAGGAGGGGGGGCGAUCUACAAUGGCAUGUAGGCGUGGACCCUCCCUCCGUGGAGACCCAGGUGCGUGGGAAAGUUCCUGCGGCAGGAGCAAAUACUAUGGCCUGGGGUAGAAACCUGCAGUCGGUACGAAGGGUGCUGGCUGCAGCGUAGCCUGCCUUGAGCGGUAGUGGUGGAUGCGGGUGGGAAGCACCUGUCAAGGUCUUCGCCGAAGACCUGUUGACCAUAGCGGAAACCACUACUGCAAAAGAGGCUAGAAGAUGGCCGGGCUUGUCGAGGAAAACUCCUAGACUGUUUACCACCGGUAAGGCUGGCCGGGGAUUAAAGUAUGUGCUAAGUGGUAAUCCAGUCCUGCCUCCGGCGACGGCGCAGGGCACCCUUUAAAGGGAAACCGCCACAGCGGCGACGCGUGGUAGGGUGCCGGGAAAACCUACUGGACCUAAGCCAUAAUAUUUAUCCGGCCAGCUGCCACCCACCUAAUUAUGAAG
rnacentral:sRNA from 1 species